CCGCCACCGGUGGGGGCUCCAGCCGCCCGCCGACCCGGGACUGGCAGAGGGGACGCGGCGCCCGAGCCGCUCCUCUGGAUGGCGACAGAGACGGCCUGGCGCGCCCGCAGCCUGGUCCCCCGAUGGGGAGGACGGCCGGGCCAGGUGAAGUUCGUGCACUUGGGCCUUCCGCGUCCCCAUCCACCGCAGCCAGGGCCUGGAAGGCUGGGGAGGGGGCGGGGGCGGCAGACGCCUCCUAAGGUGGGUUCUGGGACUUGGAUCCGGAGUUUAUUCCAAGGAGAGGGUGCUCUGGGCCUGUUCCCUAGGUGUGCCCUGUUACCCAAAAUCGGGCUUGUGCAGUGGGGUCCCUGAGUCCACUGGGAGCACAGCCUCAGACCCCAGCAGAGUCACCCUUCAUCGGAAGCCCACCACCCUGAGGGCUCCUCCUCCACCUGGGGCGGCACUGCCAGGCACAGGCACGCACUUUCCCUCAGUCCUCUGCCCCACGAUCACUCUACUCGGGCACCUCUGCCACUGCCCGGUCCUUGCUGAGCCAUCUCCUGGUUCAUCUCCCUGGAGUCCCUGCAGGACCGGCUCUCGGUGGCGUCUCCGGGCUCCCAGUCGCAGGACUGGUCCUAUCCAGCCCAGGAGAUACGCUCCCCAGUCCAGGAUGUCCAGAUGGCUCUGCUGCCUGGAGAGGCUCUGGCCCCUGCCGGUAGCUGCCACAGCACCACCCCAAGCUCUCCCUUCCUGCAGGUUCUUUUUCUGACAUGAUGAAAAGCCACCCAAGAACCCAUCCUCAGCUCACGGGUCCUGGCCGCAGGCUCAGGGCAGGUCGGGAUCGGUGGAACCCUAGAACCCAUCCUCAGCUCACGGGUCCUGGCUGCAGGCUCAGGGUGGGUCUGGAUUGGUGGACUGUUGUGUCACUCUUGGACAUCGUCCCUGGAUGAGGGUCUCCAAGGCUUGAGUCUUUAUGGACAGGACAGUAUUUCUGGUUUUCAUUCAGUUUGGUGGCGCCCCAGGGGUUCUGGGGAAGAGCUUGACCUCCACCAAAGGGGGAAAAAGAGGUGGAGUUGGUGGCCAGAGGGUCCCACUCUUCAACCAAGUCUGCAGUGGUUGGCUUUGGGCAUCAGGCUUCACUUGAAGGAAAGUUCACAGCAGGGUUUCUGGGUGUCCCUAGAGGAGGCCUGUCCCUUGGGCAUGUCUGCCCUCUUGCUGUCCAGUUCUGGCCCCAGACUUCUGACCCAGCUGCACUCUUCCCCUGGGGAACUGCUCCUUCACUCCUUUGCCCAUGCGUGUUGGGUGAGGCUAGUCCAUCCCCGAUGUCAAAGCUCAUAGGGGCUCACGUGGGCUGGCCAGUGACUGGCUCCAGUAUGAGCCAAUUCCAGGGCUUUUGCAGAAAUUGCUAGACAAGGAGCACAGUUUCAUCACUGGCCCUGCUACUUGUGGGACCCAAGCCCAGAGCUGUCCAGAAGCACUGGGAACAGGGAGCCUGCCUGAGGACAGAGCCUAAGGUGGAAGUGACCACAGAUGACGUCAGUCGGCCCCUGGGUCCUGCCCCUUGAGGAUGCACCCUUUUUUUCUGCUUCUCAGCAUUUUUACGACUGUGCAUAGACAUUUCCCUUUACGAAGAAGUGGCUUUGAGUGAUGUCUCCCACUAGCAAUGAAAGAUGCUAGCCACAACAAGGUCAUUGGUCUAGGAUUUGCUCAAGAACAUAGCAAAAUGUCCAGGACAGGGAGUGAACCAGGCAGCCUCUCUCCCCGCCGCCGGAGCCUCCCGCUGCCUCUCAGAGACCUCAGGGCAGUGAACUGGCCUCCGACCAGCCGCGGUGACAUCCCUGCCUGCACACAGUUCAGCGGCCUCUCACUGGGGUGAGUGACAUCUCCAGGGCUGGGUACACUGUCCCAUCAGGCGGCCAUCCAUCGGCCAGACAAACCCCUGGGCACCACACCAGGAAGACUCCCGAGUUCCUGGGCCACAUUCUCGGGAGAAUCUGUCUCCCUUCUUGGACAUUGAAGCUGAGAGAUUUAUGGGCCGAAGUUUUUUCAGGGGAGCUGUCUUUUGAAUUAUCGUGUAAUUAAGAUGCUAAUGGCUGUUUAUGGAACCUUCUCUUCUCAGUCCAAGUGCUUUCUGAAUAAUAAGGAACGUCCCUUUUGUGAUGGUGGAAAACAGCACUGAGAGCAAAAACCUUCAUUAAAUCACCAUUUGCAUCUUUUUCUCCUCUUAUAAUAAAAAGGAAUUUUCUAAUGCUC
ensembl:lincRNA